UAUUAUUUUAAAAUCUCUUUAUUGUAAAUAAAUGCUGAUGGGAUAUUUAUGCUCAAGUGCACAGAGUUCACAACAUACAGCACAAGUUUACAUACACUGCAUUUCUUUUAAACUUCAAAACCACAUUAGAAAGCAGUAAUGCAGCCAAAUUGCAAGUAGACACAUAACAUCGAUCUUACUAAACACAGAGAUGCAUUUGCAAACAGUGUUCAGAGACAGAGGAGCAGGAGGAGAGGCAGAGGUGGCACCAGCAGCACCCUUUGAAGGAGGACAGGGUGAAGGUUUGGGAUGUACUCAUGGAGUUUGUGGUUCCUGGAAGCACUGGCAGCAAUGUCGCUGCUCCCAAGGCUUCUCCAUCAUCCGCUGCCAAGCUGCCAGCAAGGGGAUGACUUACAGGGGUAGCAGCUCUAAUGGCACAGCCAGUGUAUGCAAACUCAAGCUACCUGGGCUGGUUUGAAGCCUUUAUCCUCACCUUCUGAUUUUCCCCAUCACUGGUGGCAGAGAUGGAACAGAUUUUGCCUGAGAUCACUUCUCUCUAAACAAUCCAUAAUGCUGAUGGGGCAGCCACAGCCCCUGGACUACAGCUCAGGGGAGCUGCCACCACCACCCCUGCUGCAAGAAACAGAGGCACACAAAGUGAGGGAAACACAGAAAACUCCCAAGUCAUGAAGCAAUGCUCAUGAAGGAGCCAAGCCCCCUUCCACACCUCCCAGUUCCUCACCUCUACCUGCCCAGACCAACACACCAGUGCCAGUACAACCAGCUGCUGAGCCUCAGUUCGGCACAUUGUGCAAUCACUGUUUAUCCUGAGGUGUUUGCACGCACGGUGCCAAGGAAAUCAGGUGAUUUCAAGGAAAAGCCUGGCAGAGGGACCUGCAUGGGGCUGGGGAGAUGUGUGGGGUCACUGGCAUCGCCCCAGCCUCACUGCCCACAAAGGCUCAGCAUGACCCGGGACCAUGUCAGGUAUGACUCACCCACAUGGCAACAAUGAUGAUCAUAAAUCUGCUGCUCUGCUCUGGACACAUGUAUUUAGGCCUUUUGAAAGUUAAAAAGCAGGAGGAAAAGGCUACUGUUAGGCUUUGAUUAAAGCAACAAGGCACAAACACUGCUGUCUGUCUGCAGAGGUGGCUGAGAGGUUCCAUCCCACGAUCCAGCAGCCUACAGCCAAAGCAAGGACCCACAACAGGAAUAAGGUACCCGCAGUCAGUGAUAAAGACUCACAGACCUGAUUUUUAGCAGUGAUUAAUAAAAAUACUAAUUACAACCACCAACAUCAUAGCAGCUGCCUUCAUGAAUCCUGGCACGUAAAAAUACAUACUUCGUCUCCUUACAGCCAUUAACUACUCAAUAACACAAAGAAAAUUAACUCCUUCACAAGUUAUUACUGCAUAUUGUGCGUAAACAUCCUACAGUACAUUGCUACUCCUUUUUACUCACAGGAGCAGGAGAUGGCUGGACAGGAGUAGCCAGCCCAAUGUGGUUUGUGCGUUUAGAGCAUCACUGGAGUGUGACAGCGAGUAUCACCAUGGAACAGCCUAGAAAUCUCUUCCCUCAAGGUUUUUUGGCUCAUUUCUAAGCACUGUGACAUUUAAAACCAAAGAACAGACUCUGCUCUUGCACAGCAAACCUGUGCCCCCGUGGGAACAGCUCAAGGAACAAAACUAUUACAACUCAGUUUCUCACCCACUGAAUUUCUUUCCUCUGUGGCACAAUUGCUUUAGAUUAACACACACUUCUGCUCCUCAGAAAUCCUAAGGGGUCAGGAUUAACGCCUGGGCCUUUGCCAUGCCCAUUUCUAUUUCAUUUAUCAAAUUAAAACUCUGGAGUGUUUAAAACAACUCAGGUUUGAGCUCAAAAUCCCCAGGGAAACCUCAGGCUUCAGGGCUGCUGAGCUCUUCUGCAGUGCUUCUCUUAGUGUCCCUGCCCAUGGCAGGGGUUUGGAACUAGAUGAUCUUAAGGUCCUUUCCAACCUUAACUAUUCUAUGAGUCUAUGAUCCCUGCUCUGGGUAUGGCCAACAUCUAUUUUCGCAUUUAAAAUAAGCAACCUGGCUCCCAGAAGUUGCUCAUAUAAAUCCUCGAGCCAACUGGAAACAGCAAGUCCAGAACAGCAUCCUGCUUCGUACCUAAAUGCUCCUUUCUUCAAGAAGAGUAGGAGUGGGAUAAAAUGGAGUUUGACAUAACACAAGUGAUAGGACAAGAAAGAAUGGGUUUAAACUGUCAGAGGGGAGAUUUAGGUUGGAUAUAAGGAAGAAUUUCUUCCCUGU
rnacentral:lncRNA from 1 species